rnacentral:rRNA from 1 species
AUUGAACGCUGGCGGCAUGCUUUACACAUGCAAGUCGAACGGCAGCAUGACCUAGCUUGCUAGGUUGAUGGCGAGUGGCGAACGGGUGAGUAAUGCAUCGGAACGUAUCCAAUAAUGGGGGAUAACGCAUCGAAAGGUGUGCUAAUACCGCAUACGCCCUGAGGGGGAAAGUGGGGGAUCUUCGGACCUCACGUUAAUGGAGCGGCCGAUGUCAGAUUAGCUAGUUGGUGGGGUAAAGGCUCACCAAGGCGACGAUCUGUAGCUGGUCUGAGAGGAUGAUCAGCCACACUGGAACUGAGACACGGUCCAGACUCCUACGGGAGGCAGCAGUGGGGAAUUUUGGACAAUGGGCGCAAGCCUGAUCCAGCCAUGCCGCGUGAGUGAAGAAGGCCUUCGGGUUGUAAAGCUCUUUCGCAAGGGAAGAAAACUUAGCUCCUAAUACGAGCUGAGGAUGACGGUACCUUGAUAAGAAGCACCGGCUAACUACGUGCCAGCCGCCGCAGUAAUAC